AGGCAACCAUCAUUGACAAAGAACAACUUCCCUUUCCAUCAAAAAGAGUUGAAGUGCCCUUCACACCCUGAAAGACAUUGAUCAUCUCACACCUGGUCAGGUCAUUAAUAUCAAGGUGAAAGUCAUCUCUACAAAACCUGCAAAAACGGUACCAGUAAAAGACACACAGGGAACAACCAAAGAGUUACAGAAAACAGUGCGUAGAUUGUAAAAUUGCAGAACUUACAGAACACAAUCAGUCUAGAGCUUGUUCGCCUCUCGUGUAGAGUGGACCACUGAAGUUCCUGUAGCAUUCUGCAUACUGUAGACUUACUCUGUUUACAUCAUCAACUAAAGCACGCUGAUCAGAAAACAACAUUUAGGCUCCAGUGAGCAGAGCACACCUUAAGAAUAAAGUGUGUUUAUUUGGGACAUUAGAGUACAGCACAAUAUCAGCGUUUUACUACUGUGGGUAGGUCAUUAACGUUAGUAUAUACACAGAACAACACAUUUGUCAUUAAAGUAUGUUUAUGUUCUAAAAAAACACACAGUCUGCUCUGUCAUCAAAGAGGAGGAGAUCCUUGUUUCCUGGGAUAUACUGGUAUAAAAUUGGCAUAUUGCUAGACAUAACAUAUUCAAUACAGUAUACACUUUCAGUAUCCAUGUAUAUGUACAUGCAGCUACUUGUUACAUGACUAAUUCAGAACAUAAUCACAAUAGUAUAUAUCUAUACGGAGGUAAAUACAUAUCAUAUUUGUCAUAACAAUAGUCAACAUGAGUCGCAGUCUAUUAUCUAUCCAUCUUCAUCUUAGGUCAACUGGGACAAAGAGUCGGGGGAAAGCCGACAGAACCUCUUAAAGUCUAGUUUGGUUCAAAUUCGUAGGUGACGUUCCAAGCGAAAUGGCCUGGUAGCACCUGAUGGCCGAGAUGGGGGACAGUCUCAUCGAUAUUAACAUCCCUCUCCCCCAGGCUGCGGGUAGCUCGUCGCCACCGAUAUGGAAGUGGAAGAGUCGGUGGAGGCGUUGUUGAGGUCCGAAGCUGAGCACGUCGAGGCGGGUGAGCAGAUGGAGGAUGUGCCCUCGGGUAGGGAGGAGAAAGAAGAAGACACCCCGUUUGCUGCGACCAACAACGAGUUGAAGCGCCAGCGUUCCCGUGAACGCUACAAUUUCAGCCAUUGACAACUGGGAAUUAGUACGUGAUAAAAUAGAAUCCGUUGCAAUGAUUCAAAAUUGUUCUGGCUGAUGGUGAUUUCCUGGGGAGACAUUUCCCCAGCUCAUACGACAAGAAGCGAACCUUGUGGCUACCAUACAAGCCACCAAACACCUGAUGAAGCUAGUAUAGCAACACUGCGAUGGCACAAGUAGAGAUGGUAAGAAGGUUGUUGGGUUCCAAGCUUGUACGGCUAAAUGACGAACUGAGACACUUGGGGUACCAGAGACACUUGGGGUACCAGAGGUACCAAUUGGAGAAUCAGGUGAUCAACUCAACGCAUUCAAAUUUAUCCUUGACAAGAUGGCCAGCAGCAUCCCUGCUGUUUAACAGUCAUGACAGGAAGGGUGGGCCCCUUCCCUUGUUCCCACGCGAGGCGGAGGUCACGUGUCAGGAGCAGAAGCGCCCCUUAUUGGUGACGACUGAAGACGCGAGGCAGGAUUCUAGGAACUGCAGUUUACAGUCAAACGAGGGAAAACAACUCACCAAAAGCUGGGGCAAACCUUGGGUGUAGACAGCUUACUGGUGACAAAUGAGGCCCUUGCUGUUGCCGUGCCUGAUGUCUCUGAUGCCACUAUCCGGGAGCACCUGAAAGCCAGCGACCAAGGCCUGUCAACAUCCACAUCACGCAAAGUGAAAC